UACAGGGGGUGCAAAUGUUGCUCGGAAUCAUUGGGCGUAAAGCGCACGUAGGCGGUUCGUUAUGUCGGAUGUGAAAGCCCCUUGGCUUAACCGAGGAAGUGCAUCCGAAACUGGCGAGCUAGAGUACGAAAGAGGAUCGCGGAAUUCCCGGUGUAGAGGUGAAAUUCGGUAGAUAUCAGGAGGAACACCGGUGGCGAAGGCGGGUCUCUGGGUAGUAACUGACGCUGGAGGAACGAAAGCGUGGGUAGCAACAGG
rnacentral:rRNA from 1 species